GCCACAUUAACCGCUUGGCGGCGCUUGACCUUUUAGAAGAAAGGUCCACCUUGCGAAAGGGGUGCUUUGGUUUAAUUUAUGUAGUGUUGUAUUCCGCAUGACAUUAAUAUCAUGAAUCAGCUUUAAGAAGUACCUAGCUCUAAUAUCUUCUAGUGGCGAACCCACAAAUCAUUCAGCGAAACCAAAGAAUCCAUCACUAGUAGGCCCUUACGAUGCUCUAGUUGUUAAGGCCGACAACUCGACCCUGGAAUUUUUUCGCAAAACCUGUUUUACCAAUGACAUCAUACUCAACAGUAAAUAUAGAGACGUAGAUGGAAGAAGAACGAUUGUACUCUGAUGACGUAUCUUCUGCCUUUUGAUGGAAACUGAGUUUAGAAGCUUACCAAACCCAACUUAGCUGUUUAUCGAGACUUCGUCAAGAAGUGAUAUACUUACAUAAACUGUUGAGCAAACAACAAGAGACCAUACACGCACUUAAGUCGGAGAACAAACGACUAUACAACAAACUAAAGAAAG